ACUUGAAUUGAAGAGUUUGAUCAUGGCUCAGAUUGAACGCUGGCGGCAGGCUUAACACAUGCAAGUCGAACGGUAGCAGGAGAAAGCUUGCUUUCUUGCUGACGAGUGGCGGACGGGUGAGUAAUGCUUGGGAAUCUGGCUUAUGGAGGGGGAUAACGACGGGAAACUGUCGCUAAUACCGCGUAUUAUCGGAAGAUGAAAGUGCGGGACUGAGAGGCCGCAUGCCAUAGGAUGAGCCCAAGUGGGAUUAGGUAGUUGGUGGGGUAAAGGCCUACCAAGCCUGCGAUCUCUAGCUGGUCUGAGAGGAU
rnacentral:rRNA from 1 species